CGCUGAACUUCCGGUAGCAAUACCGGGAGGGAGGCGUGGCGAACGGGUGAGUAACGCGUGGACAACCUGCCCGCAAGUGGGGAAUAACUCCGGGAAACUGGAGCUAAUACCGCAUAACGUCCCGAGGUCGUAGGAUUUUGGGACCAAACCUGCAAGGGGCUCGCGGAGGGGUCCGCGUCCGAUCAGCUAGUUGGUGAGGUAAUGGCUCACCAAGGCGGAGACCGGUAGCCGAUCUGAGAGGAUGGUCGGCCACACUGGAACUGAGACACGGUCCAGACUCCUACGGGAGGCAGCAGUGGGGAAUAUUGCGCAAUGGGGGAAACCCUGACGCAGCGACGCCGCGUGGAGGACGAAGCCCUUCGGGGUGUAAACUCCUUUCGACGGGGACGAACCUGCCGAGCAAUCGGCACUGACGGUACCCGUAGAAGAAGCCCCGGCUAACUACGUGCCAGCAGCCGCGGUAUACGUAGGGGGCGAGCGUUGCUCGGAAUUACUGGGCGUAAAGGGUCCGUAGGCGGCCAGGUCAGUCGACGGUGAAAUCUCCCGGCUUAACUGGGAGGGGUCCGCCGAAACUGCCGGGCUCGAGGGCCGGAGAGGCGAGUGGAAUUACCGGUGUAGCGGUGAAAUGCGUAGAUAUCGGUAGGAACACCGGAGGCGAAGGCGGCUCGCUGGACGGCUCCUGACUUAAGGGACGAAAGCUGGGGGAGCAACAGGAUUAGAUACCUGGUAGUCUCAGCUGUAAACAUGAUCACUAGGUGUGCCCGACGUCCGUUGGGGUACCGCAUCUAACGCACUAAUGAUCCGCCUGGGAGUAGGUCGCAGGCUGAACUCAACGAAUGACGGGG
rnacentral:rRNA from 1 species